GAAGCUAGUCUUGAACUUGCGGUCCUCCUGCUUCAGCCUCCUGAGCCGCUGGGAUUAAGGGUCUGUUGGAGCACUGCUUUGGCGAAGAACCCUCACCCACUGCUACGCACAACAGCCCGCUUGGCCAGGCGUGGCUGCCUGGAGCCCCAGCUCUUCAGAAAGCUGAGGCCGGAGGGGUACCCGAGCCCAGGAGUUUGAGGACAGCCUGGGCAACACAGCGAAGGUCAGUGCACCCUAGAGCCCCCACCGCCUGUGGUCACCGGUGCUCAGCAUGCUGUCUGCCCUACAGGGUGACCAUCAGAAGCAUGUGGCUCCUGGAGGCGUGGAGCUGUUUGGUCCCUGGCUGUCAUCCAGUGAUACUUAGUAAUCCUGGCUGGAGGACAGCAUAAACCCACAAGGAAACGACACCUCCUGAUGCUCCUAGUGUCCAUGGCGCUCCUCUGUUCUGCUCCCACUCCCCACGGUACCCUGGCUGGGCCUUGCCCCCAGGCACACCCUGACCAGUCACUGCCCCAAGGGCUUCCUGGGGGCCCACAACCCCUUACCCAGGUCCUGUCCUAGAUCUCCCGUGCUUCUGGCCAUGGUGGCCUUCCAGACUUCCCUAGUGGCCUGAAUAUAACCAGGCGUGACUACCACUGUGGGAGGCGUGACUUUCCCAUCAUGCAGUGGGAAAGACCCGAGAAUAAGCAUUUCCCCAGAUCCUCACCAGCCCAAGGCCACAGCUCCCGUCCUCCAACUCCACCGGCUUUUGAGGUCUCUUGUCUUUUCCCUCCGGAUUAUCCUCUGUUCAUCCUGCACAAAACUCCAGCUUUGACCCGAGGAUACUCCCUUCCCCAAGUCUUGAUUGUUCCACCUAUAGCUCUCUGAUCCACGCAUGAACCAGAAUUCUCAGGGGAAAGAUGCUGAUUCCCAGAGAUGCCAAGAGAUCCUGAUUCUGCAGGUAGGCCCAUAAAAAUAGGGCAUUUUAAACAGAGGUUCCAGGUAACUGAUCCAUGGCCACCCUGGUUCAGGAGUCCCUGGUGGGAAAAGGCUUGGACAGAAGAAAACUAACUUUUAAUUCAAAGACCUCAGCCUCUGCCUAAGGCGAUGAAAAGGGAGGAAGUGUCUUCAUUUCCCAGCAGAUUUUACAAUAAACUAGCACUUCCAGAUA